CAGGGUAUAGUUUAUAUAAAAUUUUAAUUUUGGAGAUUAAUGAAAAAGGUUUAACUUUUUCCCUGA
rnacentral:tRNA from 1 species